rnacentral:rRNA from 1 species
GGUUAAGUGACUAAGCGUACACGGUGGAUGCCUAGGCAGUCAGAGGCGAUGAAGGGCGUGCUAAUCUGCGAAAAGCGUCGGUAAGGUGAUAUGAACCGUUACAACCGGCGAUACCCGAAUGGGGAAACCCAGUGUGUUUCGACACACUAUCAUGUCAUGAAUACAUAGUGGCAUGAGGCGAACCGGGGGAACUGAAACAUCUAAGUACCCCGAGGAAAAGAAAUCAACCGAGAUUCCCCCAGUAGCGGCGAGCGAACGGGGAGGAGCCCAGAACCUGAAUCGGCUUGUGUGUUAGUGGAAGCGUCUGGAAAGUCGCGCAGCAAAGGGUGAUAGCCCCGUACACUAAAAUGCACAGGUCGUGAGUUCGAUGAGUAGGGCGGGACACGUGACAUCCUGUCUGAAUAUGGGGGGACCAUCCUCCAAGGCUAAAUACUCCUGACUGACCGAUAGUGAACCAGUACCGUGAGGGAAAGGCGAAAAGAACCCCGGCGAGGGGAGUGAAAUAGAACCUGAAACCGUGUACGUACAAGCAGUGGGAGCACCUUCGUGGUGUGACUGCGUACCUUUUGUAUAAUGGGUCAGCGACUUAUAUUUUGUAGCAAGGUUAACCGUAUAGGGGAGCCGUAGGGAAACCGAGUCUUAACUGGGCGACUAGUUGCAAGGUAUAGACCCGAAACCCGGUGAUCUAGCCAUGGGCAGGUUGAAGGUUGGGUAACACUAACUGGAGGACCGAACCGACUAAUGUUGAAAAAUUAGCGGAUGACUUGUGGCUGGGGGUGAAAGGCCAAUCAAACCGGGAGAUAGCUGGUUCUCCCCGAAAGCUAUUUAGGUAGCGCCUCGUGAACUCAUCUUCGGGGGUAGAGCACUGUUUCGGCUAGGGGGCCAUCCCGGCUUACCAAACCGAUGCAAACUCCGAAUACCGAAGAAUGUUAUCACGGGAGACACACGGCGGGUGCUAACGUCCGUCGUGAAGAGGGAAACAACCCAGACCGCCAGCUAAGGUCCCAAAGUCAUGGUUAAGUGGGAAACGAUGUGGGAAGGCAUAGACAGCCAGGAUGUUGGCUUAGAAGCAGCCAUCAUUUAAAGAAAGCGUAAUAGCUCACUGGUCGAGUCGGCCUGCGCGGAAGAUGUAACGGGGCUAAACCAUGCACCGAAGCUGCGGCAGCGACGCUUAGGCGUUGUUGGGUAGGGGAGCGUUCUGUAAGCCGUUGAAGGUGGCCUGUGAGGGUUGCUGGAGGUAUCAGAAGUGCGAAUGCUGACAUAAGUAACGAUAAAGCGGGUGAAAAGCCCGCUCGCCGGAAGACCAAGGGUUCCUGUCCAACGUUAAUCGGGGCAGGGUGAGUCGACCCCUAAGGCGAGGCUGAAAAGCGUAGUCGAUGGGAAACAGGUUAAUAUUCCUGUACUUGGUGUUACUGCGAAGGGGGACGGAGAAGGCUAGGCUGGCCGGGCGACGGUUGUCCCGGUUUAAGCGUGUAGGGGGUGUGACCUGGUAAAUCCGGUUGCAUACUAACCCUGAGGCGUGAUGACGAUGCACUACGGUGCAGAAGUAGUUGAUGCCCUGCUUCCAGGAAAAUCCUCUAAGCUCCAGGUAACAUUAAAUCGUACCCCAAACCGACACAGGUGGUCAGGUAGAGAAUACCAAGGCGCUUGAGAGAACUCGGGUGAAGGAACUAGGCAAAAUGGUGCCGUAACUUCGGGAGAAGGCACGCUGGCAUGUAGGUGAAGUCCCUUGCGGAUGGAGCUGAAGCCAGUCGAAGAUACCAGCUGGCUGCAACUGUUUAAUAAAAACACAGCACUGUGCAAACACGAAAGUGGACGUAUACGGUGUGACGCCUGCCCGGUGCUGGAAGGUUAAUUGAUGGGGUCAGCCGCAAGGCGAAGCUCUUGAUCGAAGCCCCAGUAAACGGCGGCCGUAACUAUAACGGUCCUAAGGUAGCGAAAUUCCUUGUCGGGUAAGUUCCGACCUGCACGAAUGGCGUAAUGAUGGCCAGGCUGUCUCCACCCGAGACUCAGUGAAAUUGAACUCGCUGUGAAGAUGCAGUGUACCCGCGGCAAGACGGAAAGACCCCGUGAACCUUUACUAUAGCUUGACACUGAACAUUGAGCCUUGAUGUGUAGGAUAGGUGGGAGGCUUUGAAACGUGGACGCCAGUCUGCGUGGAGCCAUCCUUGAAAUACCACCCUUUAAUGUUUGAUGUUCUAACUCGGCCCCAUAAUCUGGGGUGAGGACAGUGUCUGGUGGGUAGUUUGACUGGGGCGGUCUCCUCCCAAAGAGUAACGGAGGAGCACGAAGGUUAGCUAAUCACGGUCGGACAUCGUGAGGUUAGUGCAAAGGCAUAAGCUAGCUUGACUGCGAGAGUGACGGCUCGAGCAGGUACGAAAGUAGGUCUUAGUGAUCCGGUGGUUCUGAAUGGAAGGGCCAUCGCUCAACGGAUAAAAGGUACUCCGGGGAUAACAGGCUGAUACCGCCCAAGAGUUCAUAUCGACGGCGGUGUUUGGCACCUCGAUGUCGGCUCAUCACAUCCUGGGGCUGAAGUAGGUCCCAAGGGUAUGGCUGUUCGCCAUUUAAAGUGGUACGCGAGCUGGGUUUAGAACGUCGUGAGACAGUUCGGUCCCUAUCUGCCGUGGGCGUUGGAAGAUUGAGAGGGGUUGCUCCUAGUACGAGAGGACCGGAGUGAACGCACCACUGGUGUUCGGGUUGUCAUGCCAAUGGCAUUGCCCGGUAGCUAAGUGCGGAAAAGAUAAGCGCUGAAAGCAUCUAAGCGCGAAACUUGCCUCAAGAUGAGUCUUCCCUGGGCCUUUAAGGCCCCUGAAGGAACGUUUAAGACUAAGACGUUGAUAGGCUGGGUGUGUAAGUGCAGCGAUGCAUUGAGCUAACCAGUACUAAUGAUCCGUGAGGCUUAACCUU